CUGCACAGGUGGCCAGCAGUGGUGCUGAAGGCUCCCGCUAGUCUACCCAGCGACGCUUUCCUCCCUGCGCGACACGAUUGGAGAGUCUGGAGGCGCGAGCCUCGGUGAAUCCACCCCGCAUCAUCCUCAUCAUCAUCAUACCCCGCUCAGGUCACCUCAGCGCUCGCCUACCGGCAUUUUCCACCUCCCGUCUCCGAAGAUGAUACCUGGCGAGCGAGGAGCUGCAGUCAUGUCCUUCUCGGUGGUGAUAAUCGGAGCCCUGAUGCUGCAGUCGGUCUCUUCCCAGAACGCGGGCUUUGUGAAAUCACCUCUUUCUGAGACUAAGCUCACGGGCGACACCUUUGAGCUGUACUGUGACGUGGUGGGAAACCCCACCCCAGAGAUCCAGUGGUGGUACUCUGAGAUCAACCGAGCCGAUUCCUUCAGGCAGCUGUGGGACGGCGCCCGCAAGCGGCGAGUGUCCAUCAGCACGGCCUACGGCGCCAACGCCGUGAGCGUGUUGGGUGUCUCUCGUCUCACGCUGGACGAUGCUGGGACCUAUGAGUGCAGAGCCAGCAAUGACCCGCGACGUAACGACCUGCACCAAAAUCCUGCCACCACCUGGAUCCGUGCUCAGGCCACUAUAACGGUGCUGCAGAAGCCGUCAAUCACCGCCUCUGAACACACCACACUGCCUGUGGAAGGCGAUGCUUUCACACUGCAGUGCAAUCUGACCGGCGCCCACAGUGCCCACCAGGAGAGCUUCUGGAUGAAGAACGGGGAGGAGAUCCCGGAAACACGCACCCCAAACAGGAACACCGAGUACAGGCUGAACAAACCAAGAGGAGACGACGCCGGAGUGUACAUGUGCGUCUACACCUUCGAACUGGCUCCUCCGGCCAACGCCACCAUCGAAGUUAAAUCUGCUCCUGAGAUUACAGGCCACAAGCGUAGUGAGAAUAAGAACGAGGGCCAGCGUGCUGUACUCUACUGUAAGUCUGUGGGAUAUCCUCACCCCGUCUGGACCUGGCGCAAAUUCGACAACGGCAUUUACAGGGAAAUCGACAACUCAACCGGACGCUUCUUCAUCAGCAGCAGAGACAACUACACUGAGCUCCACAUCGCCAACCUUGACAUUGGUUUAGAUCCAGGAGAGUACCACUGCAACGCCACCAACAUGAUCGGCAGCCGCGAGGAGAAGUCUGUGCUCAGGGUCCGCAGCCACUUGGCCCCCCUGUGGCCUCUCCUGGGGGUUUUGGCCGAGAUCAUCAUCCUGGUCGUCAUCAUCGUUGUUUACGAGAAGCGUAAGAAGCCGGAGGAUUUACAAGACGCUUCACCCCUGCCUGUCUUUAGAGCUCAGUGCUCCCCAAAUCUGGGUCACAAAUAACUGGGAGCAUCCUGCAGUAGUGCUCUGCUGCAUUCACAUAAAUCACAGGGAGGAGUUUAAAGUCAAGAAAACUAAUUCAACCAACAACCACAAAGACAAGAACCUCCGCCAGAGGAACACAAACUAAGCAGCCCGUCUGCUGAGUUGCAUUACACAUGUAUUGACCAUAUGAAGGUAAACAAGAAGGGAAUCCAUACCAAUUGUUAAUAGGAUUUAUCUGCCAUUAAAAGUAUGGUUGUGGAGGAGUUAAGUGAGGCAUGCCUUAUGAUUUUGUUGUGUGAGCGUGCGAGGUCAGGAAGUACUCAAACCAUUAUGGGAUUGCUAACAUUAUAACCAUUGUUGCUGCAUGCAGUUGUUGACGUUUAUGAUUUUUCCCUCUUAUCCACUAAUUUUAAUAUUUUUACUACUUCUAAAAUAAUGCAUGCAAGAUGUUGACCUUCUAUUUGAAGGCAGAAAUGCUUUUUUGUUUUUUUGUUCUUUUCUCUGAGAGUGGCUUCAUGUAGAUAAUCUGUGUGUUGUAGAGGAAAAACAAAACUGGGCAAUGUAAAAGAAAAUGCCACCAUAAUCGGGUAUGACAGUUGUGUAUAGUUUUAUCAUUCUGCUGCAUACCAUUUUCUAAGUUUAAUCAUUUUAUCAGACAAUAUCUAUUACAUUUUAAGGGCUUUGCAAUGUCCCUCUAAAUUUGAUUAAGGUUUACUUUAUGUAUGUACUGUAUGUGUUAAAUCACUAUAACUAUGUAUCAGAUCAGCAUUAUUAUAAAGACAAUUCAUAUUAUAUGAUGCACUUAAAUGUUAAGAAUAAUGAAAAACUGUAUAAACCUACUUUAGGAGAUCUGUGCUAAUCAUUCUAACAUUGUUUUAUAAUCAUGUGUAUUGUACAGCAUGGCUAUUAUCCUAUGCAAUUAUUAUCCAUAUCAAUAUAUUGAAAAUCAUUGCAGCUUUUGAUUUCUCUGUGACAAAGCUUUAAACUAGUAGGAUCACCGUAGAGCGUUGAUGGCAUACUACACAGCUGCAUGAAUUCUCUACAGCUGACGUGGGGGUGGGGGCGGCGAGAGAAGCCCACGUCAGGACUGACACAUGUGAAGCAAACUGCAAGGUCCCGACUCAUUUUUAAG